rnacentral:lncRNA from 1 species
CCCUACUUUUACUUUUUAAAAUACUACUUCUUUUAUUUUUUAAAUACUACUUUAUUAUUAUUCAAAAAUAAUAUUUUAUUAUUAUUUUAAAAAUGAUAUUUUUUAAAAUAAUAUUUUAUUUAAAAAUAUAUUAUUUUAAUAAUUUAUUUAUAUCUAUUUUUUAUAUUUUCAAAAUAAUUAAAAUAACAAAAAAAAUAUACAUUCUAUGCAUAAUGUAUUUCUCUCAUUGCAUUAUCAAUUCAUUUUCUAAUACUACACUAAAUUUCAAACAUCAAAGUAACUGAUUAUAAGCUUGCAAAAAUGUUUAAAUCACUGAAAGAGUUUUCAUCUUUUCCAACAGUUCAGAAUCUUUGUCAUCCC